AUAGCGUAUAUUUAAGUUGUUGCAGUUAAAAAGCUCGUAGUUGGAUUUCGGUUGAGAGCGGCCGGUCCGCCGUUUGGUGUGCACUGGCUGGUUUCAGCUUCCUGCAGUGGACGCGCUCUGGGCUUAAUCGUCUGGACGUGGAGUCUGCGUGGUUACUUUGAAAAAAUUAGAGUGUUCAAAGCGGGCUUACGCUUGAAUAUUUCAGCAUGGAAUAACACUAUAGGACUCCUGUCCUAUUUCGUUGGUCUCGGGACGGGAGUAAUGAUUAAGAGGAACAGUUGGGGGCAUUCGUAUUUCAAUGUCAGAGGUGAAAUUCUUGGAUUUUUGAAAGACGAACUUCUGCGAAAGCAUUUGCCAAGGAUGUUUUCAUUAAUCAAGAACGAAAGUUGGGGGCUCGAAGAUGAUUAGAUACCAUCCUAGUCUCAACCAUAAACGAUGCCGACUAGGGAUUGGCGGAUGUUAAUUGAUGACUCCGCCAGCACCUUAUGAGAAAUCAAAGUUUUUGGGUUCCGGGGGGAGUAUGGUCGUAAGGCUGAAACUUAAAGGAAUU
rnacentral:rRNA from 1 species